AAAAAUACUUAGGACAGGGAGAGCGCGGGUGAAUGAAGAGACUGAAGAGAGAAUAAUUCGGAAGCGAUGUCGAACAAUGAAAACUCAUCGGAGAUCGCGAACUUCUCCCACGACAUUGACGAUGUUAAAGAUUUCAUCUGUGCGAAUGAGGGAGAAUCGUCGAUUUCGUACGAGAGAUUUCAGCAGAUUAUCGAGUUUGUGCGGAGCGGAAAUCAAGCCUUUCGCCGAGGAAGAUUUUGAGGAGGCAAUUAAUUGUUAUUCUAAAGCCACUCUUGUUAAAUCGGGUGAUCCUAUUAUCCUGAGUAAUAGAUGUGCUGCUUAUUUAAGGCUGUUUCAUCACUAAGGUUUGUAGUUGUUCAAAAGAUAGAAGAAGCAGUGGACUUUGUAAAUAAUCGGCUUGUCAUUGAUUAUUCUAGCAUGCCCAUGUAGACAUAUAAAAUUGAUGGAAGUUUAACUCAUGAUGAUCAACUAAGUCCAUGCACUUUAAACAUGGUGGCUUUAGAUCAAGCACUUAAUUCCAGGUCAAAUGGAGCAUCUACUUCAGGCCGGUGAGCCACAAAUUCCAUCAGAGCUCAUUGCACAUUGCAUUGCCACAAUACUGAUGAUUCAAGUAAGCUUUGAUAGUUUUUUUUCCACUGGUUAAAUUUAGCACAUAUCGUCAGUUUCAAUUUCCUGUCUUCAGUUUUCUUGUGUAGAACCUUAGGAUGUAUCAGUGGACGAAAUACUCUAUUUUUUUAUGAUUCUUGUCGGUUAUUUUUGUUUUUGGGGAGGAGAGAAAAACUAAGUUGGUUUUAGGCGAUAUUAAUGGGGACCCGACUUCAUAUAUAUUGAAACCACUUGCCCUCUGUAGUGUAAUAUCAAACCGAGCGUCGUGCUAAGCUUCUCUACGGAGGUUUUAUAAGAUGCUGGCGACCAUUAAUGACAUAUUUUUCACCCCUUGACAUGUUCUCAUCGACAAGCCAAUUGGAAUUAUGCGGUAUCCUGGAGUUGCUAAGGGUUUAUAUGUUGCUCUGCCCUCAGGUUAUUAUCUGUAUAUAGUUUUAUUGUUUAAUCUCAUUUAGUACUUACAUAUUGCAACUUGAAGCCUAAACUUUAAGUAUAUCCUAGUUUGGUUUACCUCAAGCAUCAGCAUACAAGUAUCCAUGUUAAGGUUCCAAUUAGAUUAAUUACCUAGCAAUCAAGGUAUAAAGCAAUACUAGACUGGAAAGGUUUAGACUAUAAAUUCUAUUAUAUAGUUUCUCUUCCAGCAUGCUAUUGGUAAAACAUCCCACUAUUGAUCAUAAUUCCUUUUACUUCACAACUUUUGUCCUGGAUGACUUUAAUUAGUUUCCUAGUAGUGCAUUAAGUGUGCAGAGAUAUAAGGGAACCACUAAGAUUGUAAAAGCCUAUAUUUUAAGCAAGUUUAAUAACAAUUUUAUAAAUGAGAUUUGAUAGGUAUAAUAGCUGAUAUUUUCAGACACGUUUUAGUUAAAGUUAGCUAUGUUCAUAUUAGUAAAGAAAUUACUUUGAGAAUUAUUAUUUAUUGUCUAAAGUAAGUUCCAAGCACAAAUAAGUUAGUAUGGGUUUUAUAUGAUACAGAUAUUAAGUUAAGGAUUUUAAGCUUUGGAAUAAAGAGAAACCCAUUUUUAAUUACAAUUUAUCUCUCCUCACUCAUGUCAUCUACUCUAGAUGCUAGAGCAUCACUCUCUCUUUUCUUCAUAACUUCUCCAUCAAGUGCCAAAGUAUAAUUUUCCCAUAGAUGAAUUGUUCUCUUCAAUAUUUCAGUUUUAUUACCGAAGUGGAGAAACCCCCAAAACCAAAAUAAAACCCCAAACAAUAAUUUUCUCUCUCCCCUGAUUUUAUACUCCAUAUUGUGCAUGUUCAAUUUCUGCAUUCUAGAGUCGGAAUUUGCCUAAACUUCUUGCAUGAAAGUUGUAGACCUCAAAACGUUAUUGAACUUAGACCCAAAAAUCACUCGAUUUGGAGUUUGGAGCUAUGAGUUAUGGCCUUUGCAAGUUUGGUGUUGCUACCUUCAUUUCUCCCUCAAUCUGUUGCCUCAAUUAUCUACAACAUGAAAUCCAAUUUUGCUCUUUUUGGCUGAAUCAAAGUUAUAGAUCACUUCGAGAUAAUGAAUUUGGUCACAAAAAUCACUCAAUUCGGAGUUCGGAGCUAUGAGUUACGCCUUACACAAGUUCAGCACUACUCUUGUACUUUGGGUUGCGCUGCUGCCGUGGUUGGCUUUGUUUGCCAAUGUUGUCAUUGCUAACUUGUUUGCUUUGUUGAUGUCAUUUUUUUGGUAUUCCUUUCCAUAUGAAGGUAUAAGCUAAUUUUUCUUAAUUCCUCUUCUCCUUUGAUUCCAAUUCAAGUAUGGUGCAAUUGGAUUUUAUAUUCUGAUUUUAGAAAUAAAUUUGGUUCUCAAUUUUGUUAUGUUGUUUGAUAAUACUCUCUGAAAUCAAAAUGAUGUUAAUUAGAUAUAGAAUUGAUGUUGUGAGUUGGAUUAGUAGAAUGAGUUGUAUAUAUGUUGGUUAGUUCAUGGAAGAGCUUAGAAAGUAUGAGUAAUUCAAUAUUUUUAUCUAAAUUGUUGUGAGGAUGGUUAAUGAUUGUUGUUAUUGUUUUGAGGUCGUUGUUGGAUUAUGUAUAUGGAGACAAUUUAUGAAGUUCGAGCUAUAGUUGAUUAUCCAAAAUGUCGUGUUAUUGGAAAUCGUUUCAAGAGCUCAUACGCACAAGCAUAAACAAGCUGGAGGAGGAGGAACUUUGAGAUAACAUAGAUGUUUACUAGGAAGUGUAAUUGAUCUACAUCUUUUUUUGGUCUUUGAAACAUUUGUGUAUAUAGUUUGGAAUGUUCUUGUUUUACUUGUUACAGAACAUAAUGAUUGAAAUUUUAGGAGCUAUAUUCGUAAGUUUGUGCACAUGAAUUAGAAGGAAUAGGCCUAUGUGUUAUAUUAUUUUUUUAUAACUUAGUUGAAUUUUUGGAAUCUUCUAACAUUAUAUUGAUAUGCAUGUGAUUUUGUAGUGAAUGAUAUUGAAUGAAUGAUAAGGUAUUCUAAUUAUAAAGUCAUCUAAAUUAUCUCA